GAAAACAUCUUGAAGAGUAGAGUACAGAAUUGAGUUUCUCAGAGAGCUUCUGGUUGGUGUGAAGAAGUGAGACAAAAUAUUUUGGAAGAUGGACUCGGAAUGGUGACGGUGAAAUUUGAGCCGUUGACGUGGUUGCAGACGUUACAAGUGCAAGGUUGUAUUAUGGCUUUCUAGAGGCUAUUUUGGCAACUUGCUGAGGUGAUAUUUAUUAUCACAAACUAAGGUGGUACCACGACAUGCUCGUCCUUUUU
rnacentral:ncRNA from 1 species